rnacentral:rRNA from 1 species
UACGUAGGGCGCAAGCGUUGUCCGGAAUUAUUGGGCGUAAAGAGCUCGUAGGCGGCCAGUUGCGUCUGCUGUGAAAUCCCGGGGCUCAACCCCGGGCGUGCAGUGGAUACGGGCUGGCUAGAGGCAGGCAGGGGAGAACGGAAUUCCCGGCGUAGCGGUGAAAUGCGCAGAUAUCGGGAGGAACACCGGUGGCGAAGGCGGUUCUCUGGGCCUGUACUGACGCUGAGGAGCGAAAGCGUGGGGAGCGAACAGG